rnacentral:miRNA from 1 species
GCUUUAUACCCAGGAGCAUAGCCAGCCCGACGAUUUAGUCCCACUAUGCAAAUAUUUUUGUGUUCAUUGACUGUGAAAACAAUCAAUUUCUAAAGAAAUGAAUAAUGAUAAUAAUUUGAAUUUGCAUAGCGGGACUAAAUUGUCGGGCUGGCUGCAUCACUGUUUAUACAGU